GGUUAACCUAUUCCUGGCCAGAAGUGGAUGUUUCAGUUCAUCUCUUCCUGGUACUCGAAUGAGUGUCUUUUCAUUUACAUUUUGUAGGAGCAUGAUCAGAGCACACACAUACCCUAGCCCAGGGCCAUCUUAACAGCAUAAUAAGCCGCCGGGGAAAGCUUAUAUUUAUUGGUACCUCCAACAAAUACAAUAUAUACACACAGACUGCUGAAUACACAGAAAGACAGACUGCUGAAUACACAUACAUAGACAGUUGAAUAUAUACAGAAUAUAUACAGACUGCUAAACACACACACACACACACACACAAAGACAAAGUACACACACAGACAGACUGCUGAAUACACACACACACUGCUGAAUGCACAAGCACAGACUGCUUAAUACACACAGACUGCUAAAAAUUUACACACAGACUGCUGAAUACACACACAGACUGCUGAUUACACACACACAUACACACUGAGUGCUGAAUACACACACACACUGACUGCUGAAUACACACGCACUGACUGCUGAAUACACAUAC